rnacentral:rRNA from 1 species
GAAGCGGCAACAGCUCAAAUUUGAAAUCUGGCCUCUUUGGGGUCCGAGUUGUAAUUUGGAGAGGAUGUUUCGGGUACGGUCCGGGCUUAUAUUUCUUGGAACAGAAUGUCAUAGAGGGUGAGAAUCCCGUCUGGAGCUCGGACACGGCCUAUGUGAAACUCCUUCGACGAGUCGAGUUGUUUGGGAAUGCAGCUCUAAAUGGGUGGUAAAUUUCAUCUAAAGCUAAAUAUUGGCCAGAGACCGAUAGCGCACAAGUAGAGUGAUCGAAAGAUGAAAAGCACUUUGAAAAGAGAGUUAAAAAGUACGUGAAAUUGUUGAAAGGGAAGCGCUGGCAACCAGACUUGCAUGUCGGGGUUCCCCCUUGCUUUUGCCUGGGUUACUCCCCGGCGUUCAGGCCAACAUCGGUUUCGGGGGUUGGUUAAAGGCCCUAGGAAUGUACUUACCCUCCGGGGUAAACUUAUAGCCUAGGGUGUCAUGCGACCUCCCGGGACCGAGGAACGCGCUUCGGCUCGGAUGUUGGCGUAAUGGUUGUCAGCGACCCGUCUUGAAACACGGACCAAGGAGUCUAACAUCUAUGCGAGUGUUAGGGUGUCAAACCCUUACGCGGAAUGAAAGUGAACGGAGGUAGGAAGCCGUUAGGCUGCACUAUCGACCGAUCCUGAAGUUUACGGAUGGAUUUGAGUAAGAGCAUAGCUGUUGGGACCCGAAAGAUGGUGAAC